AGAGAAUUGGCCCAGAGCAGCCCUAUCAGGCAGGAGCCUGCAUCUGUGACUCUCCUCAGCCGCUUAUCAGCUGUGUGACCUUGGGUCCCUGGCCUUUUC